rnacentral:rRNA from 1 species
UACGUAGGGUGCGAGCGUUAAUCGGAAUUACUGGGCGUAAAGCGUGCGCAGGCGGUUUUGUAAGCCGGAUGUGAAAUCCCCGGGCUUAACCUGGGAAUGGCAUUUGGGACUGCAAGGCUCGAGUGCGGCAGAGGAGACUGGAAUUCCUGGUGUAGCAGUGAAAUGCGUAGAUAUCAGGAGGAACACCGGUGGCGAAAGGCGGCAUCCCUGGACCGGUAUUGACGCUGAGGCGCGAAAGCCAGGGGAGCAAACGGG